rnacentral:rRNA from 1 species
GUGGGGAAUAUUGCACAAUGGGCGAAAGCCUGAUGCAGCAACGCCGCGUGAGGGACGACGGCCUUCGGGUUGUAAACCUCUUUUAGUAGGGAAGAAGCGAAAGUGACGGUACCUGCAGAAAAAGCACCGGCUAACUACGUGCCAGCAGCCGCGGUAAUACGUAGGGUGCAAGCGUUAUCCGGAAUUAUUGGGCGUAAAGAGCUCGUAGGCGGUCUGUCGCGUCUGCUGUGAAAACUGGAGGCUCAAACUCCAGCCUGCAGUGGGUACGGGCAGACUAGAGUGCGGUAGGGGAGAUUGGAAUUCCUGGUGUAGCGGUGGAAUGCGCAGAUAUCAGGAGGAACACCGAUGGCGAAGGCAGAUCUCUGGGCCGUAACUGACGCUGAGGAGCGAAAGCGUGGGGAGCGAACAGGAUUAGAUACCCGUGUAGUCC